rnacentral:sRNA from 3 species
AUAUCUCUCUGUACGGGAAGGAUGAGAAGCUUCUACCAGGGUUCGAUUCGAGCGCAGCGAGAAAGCGUUGCCGCAGGCAACGACCCGAAGGGCGAAGCGCGCAGCGCUGAGUCAUCCUUCCCCC